rnacentral:pre_miRNA from 1 species
AGGGCCAUCAAAUGGCUGUGACUGCGUUCGUUAUUAGACUCGCAUCACAGCCACCUUUGAUGAGCUCUC